rnacentral:rRNA from 1 species
CCUACGGGUGGCAGCAGUGGGGAAUAUUGCACAAUGGGGGAAACCCUGAUGCAGCGACGCCGCGUGUGGGAAGACGGUCUUCUGGAUUGUAAACCACUGUCCCCAGGGACGAAAAUGACGGUACCUGGCGAGGAAGCUCCGGCAAACUACGUGCCAGCAGCCGCGGUAAUACGUAGGGAGCAAGCGUUGUCCGGAAUUACUGGGUGAAAGGGGAGCGUAGGCGGGGAGGAAAGUAGGGGGUAAAAACUAUCGGCAAAACCGAAAGUCGCACUUGAAACUGCAGCUCUGGAGUAAAGUAGAGGCAGGCGGAAUUCCUAGUGUAGCGGUGAAAUGCGUAGAUAUUAGGAGGAACACCAGUGGCGAAGGCGGCCUGCUGGACUGUGACUGACGCUGAGGCUCGAAAGUGUGGGGAGCAAACAGGAUUAGAUACCCUAGUAGUC